rnacentral:rRNA from 1 species
UACAGAGGGGGCAAGCGUUGUUCGGAAUUACUGGGCGUAAAGGGCGCGUAGGCGGCCUUCUAAGUCGAACGUGAAAUCCCCGGGCUCAACCCGGGAACUGCGUCCGAUACUGGAAGGCUUGAAUCCGGGAGAGGGAUGUGGAAUUCCAGGUGUAGCGGUGAAAUGCGUAGAUAUCGGAAGGAACACCUGUGGCGAAAGCGGCUCACUGGACCACAACUGACGCUGAGGCACGAAAGCCAGGGGAGCAAACAGG